CUAAGUUUACCAGAAAUUGUUUCCGCCGUUGCACUUUUCCAAGAGAUUGUGCGUCACAGGGGAAAUGUUUCAAGAGUGUCACAAACGACUCGUUCAGUGACCCGUUGUAAUGGAUUCCAUUUAAACUCCUCCUUUCAGAGAGCAUACUCUGGUCUGAUUUGUCAGAUGUCCCAUUCUGUUGUGAUUGGUCUACCCCUGUCAGCGUGAGGGGAGGAAACACCCACUACCAUAACAAGUUUCAGCUCCUUCUGUUCUCGAGCAGCCAAUGAAGACCAGAGCCACAGGAAGAAGGCAGAGACCCGUAAAAUGGGUUGGGGACUACCAGCACCUUCACUCACUCUGGGUGAGGAGCUGGCACUGUCCCUUAAUCAAGGUGGCAGUUCCAGGGGGCAGUUCAUCAGAGUCCGCUACCUCCCAUGAUAUUCUGGCUUGGUAAAAUGUAUG